CAAGAUAAUAAAAUGUGAGGCUGGAUGAACACAGCAGGACAAGCAGCAUCUCAGGAGCACAAAAGCUGACGUUUCGGGCCUAGACCCUUCAUCAGAGAGCGAGUGAGAUGUUUGUCUGAAAAUCACGUGAUCGUCUUUGUCCGGAGACGCAAUAUCCCUGCGACUGAAGGUUAGCUGCUUGCCGAAAGUACAGUACACGGGACAAAAAGGAAAGCUGCAAAAAAACGGGAGGGAAAUACUUUCGGUAUUGACUGAGAGGCUUUAAUAGCCGUUGAUGCAUGUCAGAAAACAAAUUUUAACAUGCCGGCCCCGUGUUUUGCAGGAAACGGAAAAACUGCUGCGGACCUGAGGCUGCGAUAGGCAGAGGAUAUUUAUUGAGAAUAAUUUGCAGACCAGGAUCACAAAGCAAGUUCUCCAUUAAGCGGAGUGAUCAGGAUCUGAGUAUCAUUGACACUUAACUGGGAAAGGGAAGAGGUUUAACCAUUCUAUGCGUGGGAGAAUAUUCCUGGACUCUUUUAUACCCCCACAGGACCUUUUGUGAUCUAAUCCAGUAACAGUGUGAGCUGCUACAAUGCACGUGCUAGUAAAAGCAUAAGAGGACAGAUGAGAUGAGUGCAUGGCUGGAGCUAUAACUUAAAAGUCCUGUGAUCCCAGGAAUUGGUCUGGUGAACCUUCUUUACGAUCAUUCAGUAGCCAGGGCAUCCUUCCUCUGGAAAGGAGAACAAAGGUGCACACGACUCCAGGUGUGGUCUCACCAAGGCCCUUAUAGAAAGAUAUCCCUCUUCCUGUACUCGAAUCCUCUCAAUGAAGGCCGAAAUAUCAUUUGCAUUCUUCACUACUUGCUGCUGCCUGUUUUCUAAAAGAGAACAGGAGAGAAACACGGAACUAAAUGGGGUCAGACACUCAGGUAAAAUUGUUGAACACCAUGUCCCCAUUGUAUCGGUGCUGGCCAUCAAGCACCUAUUGAAGCUAGGCCCAUUUUCUGGCACUUGGUGUGUAACCUGUAUUAUGGUGCAAUGGAUGAUCAUCUCAACACUUCUUCAAGAUUGCAAUGGUUCCUGCAUCUAUCACCAUUUCAGAUGCUGCCAGAUCUGCUGUGUAUCUCCAUCUUUUUCUGUUUUUAUUUCAGAUUUCAGGUAUUUUGCUGCAUCUUAGUCCUUCAGAAGCAUCAAAGGGUAUGGGGAGAAAACAGGAAUUGGAUUCAUUUUCAGAUGUAUAAAAUGCAUGUCUGUCCAAACUCUAUCUCUUUUUGUAGUUUUGGGCAAACGCUGAAUGUUUCCCUUCCCUGAAGGACAUUUAAUGAACCAGUUCAGUUUUACUGAUAAUCCAGCUGUGGCCCUAAGUGUUGGAUCCACAAUUGACCAGAUUUAUUUCUGAGUUUCACAAUCUUUAUGUGUGUUCUUCUGGUUUCUCUCUCUGCUUUUCUGUUUGAAAUUUUGAUUGCAUUCAGAGAAAUCAAACAAAACCACACCCAGAUCUGACACUCAAUCUGUUUGUCAUAACCUAAUUAUCUCAGGAUUUUGAACAUUGAAGGAAGAAGCACUGUUCACACCAGGGAGAAAUGCGUAUUGUUUGUGUGUCGAAGAGUCUGUGAAGAUUCAUCUGAAAUGUCCAAACACCAGCGCAGUCACACUGGGGAGAGACUGUGGGAAGGGAUUUAUUUACCCAUCCGAGCUGGAAAUGCACCAACGCAGUCACACUGGGGAGAAACCAUUCAUUUGCUCUGAUUGUGGGCUGGGAUUUACUCAGUCAAACAACCUGCUGAUACACCAGCGAGUUCACAGUGGGGAGAGACCGUUUGCCUGCUCUGUGUGGGAAAGGAUUUGCGCAGACAUCUCACCUGCUGAAACACCAGUGAAUUCACACAGGAGAGAGGCCAUUCACUUGCUCUGUAUGUGGGGAAAAAAUUUGCUUUGUCAUGCAGCCUGUUGACACAUCAGCGAAUUCACAAUGGGGACAGACUGUUCACCUGCUCUGUGUGGGAAAGGAUUCAUUUCGUCAACUAACCUGCUGAGACACCAGCAAGUUCACACUGGAGAGAAACCUUUCACCUGUUCCGAGUGUGGGAAGGGAUUUACUCACUCAUCCAACCUGCCGACACAUCAGCGACUUCAUACUGGAGAGAGACCAUUCACCUGUUCGGAGUGUGGAAAAGCAUUCACUCAGACAGUUCACCUGCUGAUACACCAGCGAGUUCACACUGGAGAGAAACCGUUCACCUGUUCCGAGUGUGGGAAGGGAUUUACUCACUCAAUCAACCUGCUGAGACACCAGCGAGUUCACUCUGGGGACAGACCAUUCACUUGUUCUAUGUGUGGAAAGGGAUUCACUCAAUCAUGCAAACUGUUAACACACCAGCAAGUUCACCACAACCACAUUUGAAGGAUUUUGCUCUUAAAUCAAGGAAUGAACUUUGAUCGUUGGGCUGUUUGUACUUGUGUCACUAGUCCCUGCUCAAAACUUGAUCUUCUCUUGGGAAAUAAGGUAGGGCAGGUGACUGAAGGGUUAGUGGGGAAAAUAUUUUGGGGCCUAUGAUCAUAGUUCUAUUAGUUUUAAAAUAUUUAUGGAGAAUGAUAGACUUGGUCUAAAAGUUAAAGUUUUAAAUGGGACGAAGGCCAACUUUGACACGAUUAUACCCCUUCAAAGCACAGUAAGACCGCCUAUGUGUGGGAAUGCAUGAGAUGGGUGAGAUGCAAAACAAGUAUUUUACAUCAGUAUUUACUGUGGAAAAGGAUAUGAAAGCUAGAGACCUUAGAGAAAUGAAUGUGUAUCUUAAAGUUCCAUAUUAUAGAGGAGGUGGUGCUGGAUGCCUUACAGAGCAUAAAGGUGGAUAAAUCCCAGGACCUCUUCAGGUGUACUGUCGAACUUUGCGGGAAGUUAGGCUUGCGAUUGGGCCCCUUGCUCAGAUAUUUGCACCAUUGACAGUUAUAGGUGAGCUGUUAGACUGGGGGUUGCCUAAUGUGGUGCCAUUGUUUAAGAAAGGUGGUAACAUAAAACCAGGGAACAAUACUUUUGGUGAGCCUGACGUCAGUUGUGGGUAAGUAGUUGGAGGGAAUUCUGAGGGAUAGGAUUUACAUGUAUUUGGAAAGCGUGGACUGAAUGGGGAUAGUCAAGAUGGCUUUGUCCGUAGGAAAUUAUGUCUUACUAACUUGAUUGAGUUUUCUUUUUGAAGAAGUUACAAAGAAGAUUGAUGGCAGAGCGGUGGAUGUUUUCGAUUAUGGAUUUCAGUAAGUAAAAUUCCGCAUGGUAGCCUGAUUAACAAGGUUAGAUCACAUGGAAUCCAGGGAGAGCUGGCCAUUUGGAAAGGCCUUUGACCUGCAGUAUGCUGCAAGGAUUGGUACUUAGUAACUAUAACUCCUACAUUCACAUCCAAAUCAUCUUUAUAAAUGACAGAAAUGAGUGGACCCAGCUCUGAUCCUUGCGGCACACCACUGGUCACACACCUCCAGUCUACAAAGCAACCCUCCACCAGCACUCUGUCUCCUACCUUCAAGUCAGAUCUGUAUCCAAAUGACUGGUUCUCUCUGUAUUCCAUGUGAUCUGACCUUGCUAAUCAGUCAUGAGGAACCUUGUCAACUGCCUUACUGACAUCCAUAUAGAACACAUCCACUGCUUUGCCCUAAUCAAUCCUCUUUGUUCCUUCUUAAAAAAAAAUCGUCAGUGAGACAUGAUUUCCCACACACAGCUACGUUGACUAUCCCUAAUCAGUCCUUCCCUUUCCAAAUAUUUCAAGUACUAUCCCUCAGGAUUCCCUGCAACGACUUGCCCACCACUAAUAUCAGGCUCACUGGCCUAUAGUUCCGUGGUUUUUCCUUACCACCUUUCUUAAAUAGUGGCACCACAUUAGCCAACUUCUGGUCCCUCACCUGUGGCUAUCGAUUGAUACAAAUAUCUCAGCAAGGGGCCCAGCAAUCACUUGCCCAGCUUCCCUCCAAGUUCUCUGAUACACUUGAUCAGGUCCCAGGAAUUUAUCCACUUUUAUGCAUUUUAAGCCGUUCGGCGUCACUACCUCUGAAAUAUGGCUAAUUUUCAAGAUGUUGCUAUUUAUUUCCCCACAGUCUAUAUCUUCCAUAUCCUUUUCAGUAGUAAAUACUGAUGCAUAAUACUUGUUUUAUUAUAUUCCCCAUUUCUUGCAAUUCCACACAUAGGCGGCAUUGCUGCUUUUUAAGGGGCCCUAUCUCUCCAUAGUUAUCCUUUUGUUCUUAAUCUAUUUGUAGAAUCCCUCUGGAUUUUCCUUCAUGCUAUUUGCCGAAGCUACCUCAUGUCCCCUUUUUGCCCUCCUAAUUUCCCUCUUAAGUAUACCAUUGAGUGAAUUCUUAUAAGAGUAUAAUGACAAUCUCUGCUGUCUAUACCUGACAUGUCCGUCCUUUUUCUUGACCAAAACCUUGAUUUCUGUAGUCAUCCAGAAUUCCCUACACCUACCAGCCUUGUCCUUCACCCAAACAGGAACAUACUGUCCCUGAACUCUCGUUAUCUUAUUUUUUGAAGGCUUCCCACUUCUGAACCUUUCCGUUUUACCUGCAAAUAUCUGUCCCAAUCAACUUUUGAAAGCUGUUGUGUAAUACCAUUAAAAUUGGCCUUCCUCCAAUAUAGAAUUUUAACUUUCAGACCUGGUCUACUCUUUUCCAUCACUAUUUUAAAACUAAUAGUAUUAUGGUCACUGGCCCCAACGCCCUCCCAUGCUGAUACCCUAGUCAGCUGUCCUGCUUUAUUUGCCAAGAGCAGGUCAAGUUUUGCACUUUCUCUAGUCGGUACAUCACAUACUGAAUCAACAUUUUCCUGCACACUCCCAGCAAAUUCCUCUCCAUUCAAACCUUUUACACCAUGGAAUUCCCAGUCUGUGUUUGGAAAGUUAAAAUCCAUUCCAUAACAACCCUGUUAUUCUUACAGAUAACUGAGAUCUUCUUUCAAAAUUGUUUGUCACAUUCCUGCUGACUAUUGGGAGGCCUAUAGUGUAAUCCCCAUAAAGUGAUCAUCCCUCUCUUAUUUCUCAGUUCCACCCAAAUAACUUCCCUGGAUGUGUUCUCAGAUAUAUCCUGCCUAAGUAAAGCCAUAAUGUUACCCUUGCUCAAAAAAGCCACUUUUCACUCCUCUCUUGCUUUGCUUUCCCCUCCCGCUUUUGACUUUCUAUCGUUUCUAUAGGAUCUAUAUCUUAGAACAUUAAGCUGGCAGCCCUGUCCAUCCUUGAGCCUUGUCUCUGUAAUUGCAAUGAUAACCCAGUUCCAUGUUUCCAACCUUGCCCUGAGUUCAUCUGCCUGAGCUGUUAGGCCUCUGGCAUUGAAAUAAAUGGUGUCUAAUUUAUUAGUCCUUUUACAUUAAUCUUAAUAACAAUUAUGUAACUGUAGGGUCGGUUUGGAAAAUGAUGACUUUUUUUGCUGUAUAUCAACACAUUCACACUGGGUAAAGACAAUCCACCUGCACACUGUGAAAAGGGAUUUCCUAGUUCAUUAGGACUGGUUUUUAUAGAAUUCAGAGUAUUCCUACAGUAUGGAAACAGGCCAUUUGGCCCAAGAAUUCCACAGAAAACCUCAGAGCAUCCCACCCAGACACAUCUCCCCGUAGCCCACCUAAUCUACACAUCCCUGAACACUCUGGGCAAUUUAGCUUGGCCAAUCCACCUAACCAACACAUGGGAGGAAACCAGAGCACCCAGAGGAAACCCACGUAGCCACAGGGAGAACAUGCCAACUCCACACACUCAGUUGCCCAAGGGUGGAAUCAAAUCUGGGUCCCUGGCAUUGAGAGGCAGCAGUGCUAACCGCUGAGCCACUGUGGAUAACCACCAAUGAGUUCCCAAGAAUCUGUAGGAAUUUUUGUUGUUGCUCCUAUUAUCUGUGUCCACGUCAUGUUAUCUGGGCAUGUUUCUCAUGAUGUUUGAAAACACCACGUGUCUGG